rnacentral:rRNA from 1 species
AGCGAACGCUGGCGGCAGGCCUAACACAUGCAAGUCGAACGAACUCUUCGGAGUUAGUGGCGGACGGGUGAGUAACACGUGGGAACGUGCCUUUAGGUUCGGAAUAACUCAGGGAAACUUGUGCUAAUACCGAAUGUGCCCUUCGGGGGAAAGAUUUAUCGCCUUUAGAGCGGCCCGCGUCUGAUUAGCUAGUUGGUGAGGUAAAGGCUCACCAAGGCGACGAUCAGUAGCUGGUCUGAGAGGAUGAUCAGCCACAUUGGGACUGAGACACGGCCCAAACUCCUACGGGAGGCAGCAGUGGGGAAUUUUGCGCAAUGGGCGAAAGCCUGACGCAGCCAUGCCGCGUGAGUGAUGAAGGUCUUAGGAUUGUAAAAUUCUUUCACCGGGGACGAUAAUGACGGUACCCGGAGAAGAAGCCCCGGCUAACUUCGUGCCAGCCGCCGCGGUAA